rnacentral:rRNA from 1 species
UGCAGAAUCCCGUGAACCAUCGAGUUUUUGAACGCAAGUUGCGCCCUAGGCCGUUAGGUCGAGGGCACGUCUGCCUGGGCGUCAAGC